ensembl:lncRNA
GCAGCUAUAAUUUUCAAAAGUUUAAACUCUAAAGGACAGAUGCUAGGAGUUUUGUUUUUUAACUGGCUUUUUUCUAUGUUUGUCAAACAGCGCAGAUGUGCGAUCUCAACCAGAUGAACCUGUCUUGCUGCCGCACUUUGUUGUCAGUUGCCGUAAAUUGUGCCAGUCGCGACCGGUCGCGACACACCGCAAAGCAGACACAAACACUAAAUUAUGGAUUUUGGCGGAGAUAAUGGAAAGUACAGCAAAGAAGAGGAGGUGCAGCUUCAACAAAGACUGGGAAACUAUAUAUCACUGGGUGAAGCCGGUGCAAGGUGAUUCUCAGAGAGUUUUCUGUGAAGUUUGCCAGAGUUCGUUUUCCGUUUCACACGGUGGGGAAUACGACGUGAAGCGACACAGUACAUGCGAGACCCCCCCUCAGCUUUGACCAAAGAACUACAGACUCUUCACAACCUGCUCAAACUCUUGGUACAGGACCUCACCACACGGGUCAAGAAGGUUUCCGUCUCAUUUCUACUCUGAAGCUCACCUUCUCCUGCUCAAACUGCUGACAAAUGUUUCUGCUGCUCUAAAGUCUGGUCUCCAGAACUUCCUAAAAACUCUCAAAGUCUCUUCUGCUGCAGGUUGCUUUGUAGAACUGUUGCAGAAAACCUCACUAAACCACAUGGAGGGGCCUCAAGAUAGUCGUCCAAAUGAAACCAUACAAAAACCAAACUAGCACAACCCAAACGCUAAAGUCUCCUGCAGCCUACCAGAGAACCUCUGAGAACAGAGAAUCAGGACAGGAACUCUUACCUUCUGGACAACCAACGUUGGUUCUCAAACAAGAAUACAGAAUGUGUCUGACCAAAAACCUCUGAAGACUCACUACAGCCAAGAUAAAGACACAACUCAGCUGUACCAAAUCCACUAAUCACUGCACACAUUAGCACCAUGUGCUAACUGGGGCUAAAGAACCACAUUUACAACUAUCCAGUACAAAGCCCUAAAACACACCAGGAAACACAUUAAAGUCUAUUUUACUGCUGGAAGCUGCAAGCCAACGCCUAAAGAACAAACUAAAGCAAUGAAGCCAAACCCAGUUCUGUGGUGAAGAGAAGCAGAGGAAAUGUUUGUCUGCAGCUAAACAAAGCAGGAAGACACUGAGCUGCUCAGGUGUUCCUGAUAACACCAAGCAGCCACCUGGACAGCCAAUAGGAACACAGCUUACUGGAAGUCCAGAGGGCUGGCUUAGUGAAGGAAAUUUAAUUUAAAGUUGAAGCAGAAAGUUAACAAAGAAAGUUGAAAACCACCUUCUGAUACCUGAAAUCUCUGAGUUUUCACACAAAGAAUGCCUGAACAUGUCAAACUGGUUCCAUAGUAGAAUCCAACAUAUUUUGGAUCCUUGUGGAGAGUUUAAUCUCAGAGUUUGUAAAGCUAUUGAGUUUUUAGAGUCACAUGGAUUGUUUUGACAUUUAAUAACCGAGUCCAGAAAAAAAAUUACAGUUGUGGAUUUCUGUCAUUUAGUCUGGACUAAACAAAUAACAGCAGCAUAAAUCUCAAACGUCAUUAUGAGGAGUCUGGAUUGAGGUUUCUCACUUGAUAAUGAUCAAAACAUGAAAUUGAGGUUGAUUUAAAGGAAUAUUCCACCCUAAAUUUGGAAAGAAAAUUCUUGUAAAUAUUUUCAAAAAAUGAGUAAAAAUCUUCCAAAAAAAAUCCUAAAAAUAUCUAAAGUGACUACAUAUAUAUCAGUAAAAUUUCUAAUAUUUUCUUUAAGAACAUUCACAAAAAAAUCAACCCAAAUCCAGCGAAAUUCGCCUGGUUUUCUUUUGGAGCUGCUGUAAUGGUGAAAUUUCCCCACUGUGGGAUCAAUAAAGUUUAUUUUAUCUUAUUUUAGAGAAUCAGAAUUUUAGAGAUAUACAGUCAUGGAAAAAAAUCAUUGGACCACCCUUGUUUUCUUCAGUUUCUUGUUCAUUUUAAUGCCUGGUACGACUAAAGGUACAUUUGUUUGGACAAAUACAAUGAAAACAACAAAAACAGCUCAUAAGAGUUUAAUUUCAGAGCUGAUAUCAGACAUUUUCCAUGGUUUUCUUCAUAAUGACCAAAAUCAUUUCAGUUCUUACAUCAAUAGCUAUGGCAAUGUACUGCCAAAAACAGCUUUUAGACAUGCCAUGUUUUCUUUUCUGUUUUAGUCACAUGAUCCACACAGGAGUUAGUACUUGAUUGCAUAACCAUUGUUUCUGAUGACUGCAGCCAUUUGCUCUCCACCAGCUUCUGACAUUGUUCUGCUGUCACAGCAGCCCAUUCCUGUCGCACAAAUUCAAACAAAUUUUGUUUCUGGGCUUGUGGUUCACCAUUUUGCAUUUGAUGAUUUU